CGAAAGCCUGACGGAGCAACGCCGCGUGUGGGAAGAAGGCCCUUGGGUUGUAAACCCCUUUUCUCAGGGAAGAAACCUGACGGUACCUGAGGAAAAAGCCUCGGCUAACUCCGUGCCAGCAGCCGCGGUAAUACGGAGGAGGCAAGCGUUAUCCGGAAUUACUGGGCGUAAAGCGUCCGUAGGGGGCUCGUCAAGUCUGCUGUCAAAGCUCGGAGCUCAACUCCGACCCGGCAGUGGAAACUGGGGAGCUAGAGGGCGGCAGGGGCAGAAGGAAUUCCCGGUGUAGCGGUGAAAUGCGUAGAGAUUGGGAAGAACACCGGUGGCGAAAGCGCUCUACUGGGUCGCACCUGACCCUCAGGGACGAAAGCUAAGGUAGCG
rnacentral:rRNA from 1 species